AUGCACGCUGGCGGCGUGCUUCACACCUGCCAGUCGAACGAGAAAUGGAGACGGAAACCUUCGGGCGGAAGGCUUCAUUUCGAGUGGCGGACGGGUGAGUAACGCGUGGGUAACCUGCCUCAUACAGGGGGAUAACAGUUGGAAACGACUGUUAAUACCGCAUAAGACCACAGCACCGCAUGGUGCGGGGGUAAAAACUCCGGUGGUAUGAGAUGGACCCGCGUUCGAUUAGCCAGUUGGCGGGGUAACGGCCCACCAAAGCGACGAUCGAUAGCCGAACUGAGAGGAUGACCGGCCACAUUGGGACUGAGACACGGCCCAAACUCCUACGGGAGGCAGCAGUGGGGAAUAUUGCACAAUGGGGGAAACCCUGAUGCAGCGACGCCGCGUGAGUGAAGAAGUACUUCGGUAUGUAAAGCUCUAUCAGCAGGGAAGAAAAUGACGGUACCUGAGUAAGAAGCCCCGGCUAACUACGUG
rnacentral:rRNA from 1 species